rnacentral:rRNA from 1 species
GACGAACGCUGGCGGCGUGCUUAACACAUGCAAGUCGAACGAAGAGCGACGGAAGCUUGCUUCUAUCAAUCUUAGUGGCGAACGGGUGAGGAACGCGGAAUCAACCUGCCCUUCAGAGGGGGACAACAGUGGGAAACGACUGCUAAUACCGCAUACGAUCUAAUCUCGGCAUCGAGGAUGGAUGAAAGGUGGCCUCUACAUGUAAGCUAUCACUGAAGGAGGGGAUUGCGUCUGAUUAGCUAGUUGGAGGGGGAACGGCCCACCAAGGCGAUGAUCAGUAGCCGGUCUGAGAGGAUGGACGGCCACAUUGGGACUGGGACCCGGCCCCGACUCCUUCGGGGGGCAGCAGUGGGGAAUCUUCCGCCAUGGACGAAAGUCUGACGGGGCAACGCCGCGUGAGUGAUGACGGCCUUCGGGUUGUAAAGCUCUGUUAAUCGGGACGAAAGGCCUUCUUGCGAAUAGUGAGAAGGAUUGACGGUACCGGAAUAGAAAACCACGGCUAACUACGUG